rnacentral:rRNA from 1 species
GGAUCAUUAUGCUGGUCGUGCCUUUGGUACGUACUGGCAUUAUUGAUUUCUCCUUUCUGAAGAACCACGAUGUCAUUAAUUUGGUGUCGUGGGAAAUCAGGACUGUUACUUUGAAAAAAUUAGAGUGUUUAAAGCAGGCUCACGCUUGAAUACAUUAGCAUGGAAUAAUGAAAUAGGACGUUUGAUCCUAUUUUGUUGGUUUCUAGGAUUGACGUA